UACGUAGGGGGCAAGCGUUGUCCGGAAUCAUUGGGCGUAAAGCGCGCGUAGGCGGCCAGAUAAGUCCGGUGUGAAAGUCACAGGCUCAACCUGUGAAUGCCGCUGGAAACUGUCUGGCUUGAGUCCGGAAGGGGCGAGUGGAAUUCCUGGUGUAGCGGUGAAAUGCGCAGAUAUCAGGAAGGAACACCAAUGGCGAAGGCAGCUCGCUGGAACGGUACUGACGCUGAGGCGCGAAAGCGUGGGGAGCGAACAGG
rnacentral:rRNA from 1 species